CUGCCCCCUGGAGGCACUGCAGGUGUGGCUGCUGUGUCACAUGCGUGUCAGUAGGUAGGGGAGAGGAGAGAAGCUACAUUCCGCUCAAGGUUCUGACCUUUAACAUCUGAAUGAUUAGUAGCCUAACACU